rnacentral:sRNA from 1 species
CACGUGGAGGCUGUUAAACUUUUACAUAAUCUAGGGAAAGAAGGGACACAAGGUUGGCAUUAGUCUAGGGUCAGGUGGGAAAAGGUUAUGCUGAAAAGUCUCUGCAGCUCAGGACAGCUUUGUGCAAAGAACUGAAGUUCACAGCUGCUAGUGCCUGGGAGAUCAAAUAGUAUAAAUGAGGGCAGACAACCCUGAGGGGCAGAUGGAGCUUUCCAGACAAUCUUGGCAUGAGGAUGAGUGAGUUUCAAAUCAGUCCUGCCGAGGCAGAUGGCUUCCUCCAGCUCUGCUUACUGAAUGCGAAGUCACAGUCAGUAAGAAAACUGGUUUUCUUCUUCCCAGGCGCUGCCCCAUACCUGAAGACCAAGUUUAUCUGUGUGACACCAACGACCUGCAGCAAUACCAUUGACCUGCCGAUGUCCCCCCGCACUUUAGAUUCAUUGAUGCAGUUUGGAAAUAAUGGUGAAGGUGCUGAACCCUCAGCAGGAGGGCAGUUUGAGUCCCUCACCUUUGACAUGGAGUUGACCUCGGAGUGCGCUACCUCCCCCAUGUGAGGAGCUGAGAACGGAAGCUGCAGAAAGAUACGACUGAGGCGCCUACCUGCAUUCCGCCACCCCUCACACAGCCAAACCCCAGAUCAUCUGAAACUACUAACUUUGUGGUUCCAGAUUUUUUUAAAUCUCCUACUUCUGCUAUCUUUGA